rnacentral:rRNA from 1 species
AAGUGACGAUAGCCUAGGAGAUACACCUGUUCCCAUGCCGAACACAGAAGUUAAGCCCUAGUACGCCUGAUGUAGUUGGGGGUUGCCCCCUGUUAGAUAUGGUAGUCGCUUAGC